rnacentral:lncRNA from 1 species
UAACUCCCCCUGGCCUAUGCCUCACAGUGUGGUGUCCAGAACUUCAAGCGCCGAGAGAAGUGCUUCAAAUGCGGUGUGCCCAAAUCAGAAGCAGAGCAGAAGCUACCCCUUGGCACUCGACUGGAUCAGCAGGCACUACCGUUGGGUGGGCGGGAGCUAAGCCAGGGCCUACUCCCACUGCCGCAGCCCUACCAGGCCCAGGGAGUGCUGACCUCGCAAGCCUUGUCACAGGGCUCAGAGCCAAGCUCCGAGAAUGCCAAUGACA